rnacentral:rRNA from 1 species
AUUGAACGCUGGCGGCAUGCCUUACACAUGCAAGUCGAACGGCAGCGCGGACUUCGGUAUGGCGGCGGGUGGCGAACGGGUGAGUAAAACAUCGGAACGUACCAUGUUGUGGGGGCUAACUAGUCGAAAGAUUCGCUAAUACCGCAUACGACCUGAGGGUGAAAGUGGGGGACCGCAAGGCAUCACGAAGCAGGAGCGGCCGAUGUCUGAUUAGCUAGUGGGUUGGGUAAAAGCCCACCAAGGCGACGAUCAGUAGCUGGUCUGACAGGACGAUCAGCCACACGUGGACUGAGACACGGCCCAGACUCUUACGGAAGGCAGCAGUGGGGAAUUUUGGACAAUGGGGGCAACCCUGAUCCAGCAAUGCCGCGUGUGUGAAGAAGGCCUUCGGGUUGUAAAGCACUUUUGUCCGGAAAGAAAUCGCGCUAGUUAAUACCUGGCGUGGAUGACGGUACCGGAAGAAUAAGCACCGGCUAACUACGUGCCAGCCGCCGCCGUAA